CCUAGAUUUAUCAACCAUAAUAUAUUUCAACCUUUCAAAUCUAUCACAUAGAUUAUCCUGGCCAAGAUUUUACUAAAUUGAAAUACACUAAUAUAUUAACUCCUACUUAUUCGGAGGGGUCAAUUCUAUUUUGACUCACACACCGACUUCGUAAGUACUUGACUGUAUCCAAAAAUCUUCCAUCACUGAAUUAAAAAUUUAGAUAGUUCGACAUCAAAAUAUAGUGAGUUGCUUGUAAGUGACCAUGGUGAUCUC
rnacentral:lncRNA from 1 species